AGCGAACGCUGGCGGCAGGCCUAACACAUGCAAGUCGAACGAACUCUUCGGAGUUAGUGGCGGACGGGUGAGUAACAUGUGGGAACGUGCCUUUUGGUUCGGUAUAACUCAGGGAAACUUGUGUUAAUAACGAAUGUGCCCUUCGGGGGAAAGAUUUAUCGCCAUUAGAGCGGCCCGCGCCUGAUUAGCUAGUUGGUGAGGUUACGGCUCACCAAGGCGACGAUGAGUAGCUGGUCUGAGAGGAUGACCAGCCACACUGGAACUGAGACACGGCCCAGACUCCUACGGGAGGCAGCAGUGGGGAAUCUUGCGCAAUGGGCGAAAGCCUGACGCAGCCAUGCCGCGUGAAUGAUGAAGGUCUUAGGAUAGUAAAAUUCUUUCACCGGGGACGAUAAUGACGGUACCCGGAGAAGAAGCCCCGGCUAACUUCGUG
rnacentral:rRNA from 1 species